AUUGAACGCUGGCGGCAUGCCUUACACAUGCAAGUCGAACGGCAGCACGGGUGCUUGCACCUGGUGGCGAGUGGCGAACGGGUGAGUAAUACAUCGGAACAUGUCCUGUAGUGGGGGAUAGCCCGGCGAAAGCCGGAUUAAUACCGCAUACGAUCUACGGAUGAAAGCGGGGGACCUUCGGGCCUCGCGCUAUAGGGUUGGCCGAUGGCUGAUUAGCUAGUUGGUGGGGUAAAGGCCUACCAAGGCGACGAUCAGUAGCUGGUCUGAGAGGACGACCAGCCUCACUGGGACUGAGACACGGCCCAGACUCCUACGGGAGGCAGCAGUGGGGAAUUUUGGACAAUGGGCGAAAGCCUGAUCCAGCAAUGCCGCGUGUGUGAAGAAGGCCCUCGGGUUGUAAAGCACUUUUGUCCGGAAAGAAAUCCUUGGCCCUAAUACGGUCGGGGGAUGACGGUACCGGAAGAAUAAGCACCGGCUAACUACGUG
rnacentral:rRNA from 1 species